CGCAGACGGCUCUGCGUUGACCAAGUGUGAUGCCAAAGGAAGAGCUAGGCUUCAGAACAGGCUGCUGGACUGGACGCUCCACCACCAGGUGCCGCUGUCAUUCCUGACCUCCCCAGGUUGCGGCGUUGGACGUGCCCUGAUCCUUGGAAAGGGGUGGCAGUGGAGUGUUGUGACACUCCUGCGCGCUGCAAGGGCUCUACUGAGGCUCUUGGUGGACACAGCAGGAACCCGCACGCACAGAUGGAUGCCAAGAUCCGCUCCUUCCUCUGUCUGGCAAGUUCUGCUGACCCCUGAGGUCGUUCCCA